rnacentral:rRNA from 1 species
UGGGGAAUUUUGCACAAUGGGGGAAACCCUGAUGCAGCGACGCCGCGUGGGUGAUGAAGGCCUUAGGGUUGUAAAGCCCUUUCAGCAGGGAAGAUGAUGACGGUACCUGCAGAAGAAGCCCCGGCUAACUCCGUGCCAGCAGCCGCGGUAAUACGGAGGGGGCUAGCGUUGUUCGGAAUCACUGGGCGUAAAGCGCGCGUAGGCGGCUGGGAAAGUUGGGCGUGAAAGCCCGGGGCUCAACCCCGGAACGGCGCUCAAAACUUCUCGGCUUGAGACUUGGAGAGGUGAGCGGAAUUCCGAGUGUAGAGGUGGAAUUCGUAGAUAUUCGGAAGAACACCGGUUGCGAAGGCGGCUCACUGGCCAAGUUCUGACGCUGAGGUGCGAAAGCGUGGGGAGCAAACAGG